GAUUUCUGACUUGGUGCGCGCUGUCCGUUGCGGUUACGUGACGUGUGCAGUAGCGCGCCUGUCAUACUUCUGGAUUUUGAUGUUGCCCUUCACUGGGUGAUGUCGCUAUCUAGAUCUUUUACUUUGAAAAAAUUAGAGUGUUUAAAGCAGGCUCGCGCUAUGAAUACAUUAGCAUGGAAUAAUAAUUUAGGACUUCUGUUCUAUUUUGUUGGUUUCUAGGAUGGAAGUAAUGAUUGAUAGGGAUAGUUGGGGGUGCUAGUAUUCAGCGGCCAGAGGUGAAAUUCUUGGAUUCGCUGAAGACUAACUUAUGCGAAAGCAUU
rnacentral:rRNA from 1 species